rnacentral:rRNA from 1 species
CAGCUCCAAUAGCGUAUGUUCAAGUUGCUGCGGUUAAAAAGCUCGUAGUUGGAUCUCGGUUUCGGGAGGGCGGUGCGCCCAGCGGCGUUUACUGUCCACCCGGACGAUUUUGUUGGUUCGUUUAUGGUGCUCUUAACCGGGUGCCUUGAGUGGCCAGCACGUUUACUUUGAAAAAAUUGGAGUGCUCAAAGCAGGCGCUACAGCCUGAACAAUUGUGCAUGGAAUAAUGGAAUAGGACCUCGGUUCUAUUUCGUUGGCUUUCGGAGUCGAGGUAAUGAUUAAUAGGGACAGACGGGGGCAUUCGUACUGCGACGUUAGAGGUGAAAUUCUUGGAUCGUCGCAAGACGAACUACUGCGAAAGCAUUUGCCAAGAAUGUUUUCAUUAAUCAAGAACGAAAGUUAGAGGUUCGAAGGCGAUCAGAUACCGCCCUAGUUCUAACCAUAAACGAUGUCGACUGGCGAUCCGUCCCCGUUAACUGAAUGACUGGACGGGCAGCCUCCGGGAAACCAAAGUCUUUGGAUUCUGGGGGGAGUAUGGUUGCAAAGCUG